UCUCCAGAUGAUGUUGAUUUCUUUUCUGACAUGCACAUCAAACUGUCUUUUUAUAAUUUCAAGGGUGUUUGAGUGGCGAGUAAACUCAUGCACAUUUUUUAUCAAUUUUUUUUUCCAAAUUCUCAAUCUGAGAGGAGCUUCUCCGGUCUUCGUCGUCUGACUUCGGUUACUGAAGCGGUGGCCCUCUAGGUUGAAGCUGAUGUCAUGUGGCUCUUUGGAGGAUAGUUGUCGCUUUCUGCUAGAGGACGUCAGAGGCCAAUCGGGCUUUUACACAUCAGAAUCAGGAUUUUCUUUUUGUGCCUUUGCUGUAAUGGUUUUCCGGUGGCGAUGAGCCUUUCUUAUGAAUAACGGUUCUUUGAGAUAUGUCUCUCUUAGAUGCGGAAACUUCUUUUGAAUUUGGUCUGUUGAAUUUAAGAUUUGUGCGCGGUGCUCAAGACUUGUGUGACGACGAGGAGCAGCGGAGCUUGGCGAAGGAAGGUUUGAGAGUCAGAUCUUCCUGUGGAAACUGGCGUUCGGGGCCGUGGGACACCCCCGAAGAUGGCUCUGACUAUGGAUAUUAAUCGUGGGUGGAUCUACAGCUUGGUUUCCGCUGUGAAGUUGCUGUGACAUCAGAUUGUUACCCAUCUGUAUUCAUCGGAGUUGUGGUUUCGUGCUCCCUAUAUCUUCUUUCCCUCAUUAAGUUCUUCUCUCUUUUAGAUCUAGGUCCAUGAUGUGCUUCGAUUGCUUGUUCUUUUGUUUUCUCCCGCGUUUUAGGUUUUCCAACGUUUCGAUGCCGGUUUAUACCUUUCCUUUUUUUUUUGGACAAACCUCAAUUUUAUAGAAUCUUACUCUCCAAGAAUGGAGAAAGUGUUCACAAAACAUGAUAACAUAGCCAUCAUGGCCAAAGAAACAAUUAUUACAAGGAAGCAAAUACAGUAAAUAAAGAUAGGGGCAAACACCACGCUUAAACAACCAAUGACGUAAAGUAGUCCUCUAAACUCAACGACCAUCAAGCUGAAAAGUGAGACGAAGCCUUGGGAAUUAACGACCACAAAGAGUGAUAUGCAUCCCGAGAUUGAAA